rnacentral:rRNA from 1 species
AGUGAACGCUGGCGGUAGGCCUAACACAUGCAAGUCGAACGGCAGCACAGGAGAGCUUGCUCUCUGGGUGGCGAGUGGCGGACGGGUGAGGAAUACAUCGGAAUCUACUCUGUCGUGGGGGAUAACGUAGGGAAACUUACGCUAAUACCGCAUACGACCUACGGGUGAAAGCAGGGGACCUUCGGGCCUUGCGCGAUUGAAUGAGCCGAUGUCGGAUUAGCUAGUUGGCGGGGUAAAGGCCCACCAAGGCGACGAUCCGUAGCUGGUCUGAGAGGAGGAUCAGCCACACUGGAACUGAGACACGGUCCAGACUCCGACGGGAGGCAGCAGUGGGGAAUAUUGGACACUGGGCGCAAGCCUGAUCCAGCCAUACCGCGUGGGUGAAGAAGGCCUUCGGGUUGUAAAGCCCUUUUGUUGGGAAAGAAAUCCGGCUGGCUAAUACCCGGUUGGGAUGACGGUACCCAAAGAAUAAGCACCGGCUAACUUCGUGCCAGCCGCCGCCGUAA